GGGCGGUUAGCUCAGAUGGUUAGAGCGCUACGGUCACAUCGUAGAAGUCAUCGGUUCAAGUCCAAUACCGCCCACCU
rnacentral:tRNA from 1 species